rnacentral:sRNA from 1 species
UCAGUUGCAAGCUGAUCGUCGGGAGAAGCGGUCGGUGUCUCAGUCGGGAAUCUUUCCAGUUAAUAAAGUGACAAAUGGACAACAUGAUGACAUUCAAGGAUAACAAGGCCCUAUUCAUAGGGGUAAACGUAUUUGUGGUUGCCUUUUUCUUGGGUGUCCUUAUAAUUCAUCACGUGUAUCAACAAUUGCCACCAGUAUAAAUAUAUAUGUAUACAUAGCUUUAUGGAAGCAUACUUAUCAUGUGGAGCGAUCUUUUACCUGUGAAAAUGCAGCAUUAAUCACCUCAAUGUAAUCGAAUCACAAUAAUAAAAUGUUGACUCAACUUCUGUAUCAGUUUUAAAA